UCCAUCGUGAGGUGGAAUCUGAAGGAGUUGAAGGCAAACUAUCGACCUGACGAACAGAAAUCACAUAUAAGGCUACGACCCGAGGGAUAAGUUGGCUGAAUACAACGAAGUCCGAUAGUUAUCACGUUUGUAGGGAAGAAGUAGAUGUGGCAGGUACAUGAUAGGAAAGUGUGUACA
rfam:Lachnospiraceae bacterium TWA4 TWA4_scaffold00001, whole genome shotgun sequence.